UACGUAGGAUGCGAGCGUUGUCCGGAAUUAUUGGGCGUAAAGAGAACGUAGGCGGCUAUCUAAGUUCGAUCUUAAAGACCGGGGCUCAACCUCGGGAAUGGAUUGAAAACUGGGUGGCUAGAGGAUGUCAGAGGAAGGUGGAAUUCCCAGUGUAGCGGUGAAAUGCGUAGAUAUUGGGAGGAACACCUGUGGCGAAAGCGGCCUUCUGGGGCAUUCCUGACGCUGAGGUUCGAAAGCUCGGGGAGCAAAC
rnacentral:rRNA from 1 species